AUGGAGAAACCUCGGAAGCCCCGCGGCUUCCCCGUCGGCUACCGCCCCCGCCGGAAGAAGUUCGCGCGGCUCCCUCCACCCGCAGCGGCCUCCCCCGCCUCUCCGCCGCCCGGGAUCCUACCGCCGCCACCGCCAGCAGCGGCCACCCCCGCCCCUCCUCCGCGCGGGCCUCUCCCGCCGUCACCAACGGCCGCGACCACGGGCCCUCCGUCCAGCCGCCUCCCUCCAUCAUCCUCUGCAGCGCCGACCGCGCCCCCUUCCUCUGGCCUCCUACCUCCACCGCCCCCAUCGAGUGUCCUGCUGCCACCCACUGUAGCACCCACUGUGCCUCUUGGUCGCGUCCUGCUGCCACCGCCCCUCGACUUGACCAGUGCCACCCCCCUACCUCUUGACCUUCCACCACUGCCACCGCCCACGGUUCACCAUCGGAUGGAGAAGCUAACAGAAGCAUUUACACAAACGAAAGAAGCAAUUGAAGCUGAACUCAGUGAUGAGGAUGAUGAGAAAGGCUCAGUGGUGCUAUGGGGCCUGAUGAGAGCAGACUCUCUAAACACAACAUUGGGCUGCUAUACCAUAGACAUGAUUCUCGUUGGUGAUGCCAGUUGCACUUACCCGUUCUUUUCUUGUGUUUAG
rnacentral:rRNA from 1 species